GAGUUUGAUUCUGGCUCAGAUUGAACGCGGGCGGCAUGCUUAACACAUGCAAGUCGAACGGCAGCACGAGAAAGCUUGCUUUCUUGGUGGCGAGUGGCGGACGGGUGAGUAAUGCAUAGGAAUCUGCCUUUUGGUGGGGGAUAACUUGGGGAAACUCAAGCUAAUACCGCAUAAGACCUACGGGUGAAAGCGGGGGAUCGCAAGACCUCGCGCCGAAAGAUGAGCCUAUGUUGGAUUAGCUAGUUGGUGGGGUAAAGGCCUACCAAGGCGACGAUCCAUAGCUGGUUUGAGAGGAUGAUCAGCCACACUGGGACUGAGACACGGCCCAGACUCCUACGGGAGGCAGCAGUGGGGAAUAUUGGACAAUGGGGGCAACCCUGAUCCAGCAAUGCCGCGUGUGUGAAGAAGGCCUUCGGGUUGUAAAGCACUUUCAGCAGGGAGGAAGAGAUGACGGUUAAUACCCGUUGUU
rnacentral:rRNA from 1 species